UCAAAAUAAUGAUGAUGCUACUGAUUCCUCUGGUAACUGCGCUGCUGCUCCGACUGCCAGGAUCCAGUGGCAGUAAAGUUGUGACUCAGUCCCCUGUAUCCAAGUCUGUUGGUCUGGGAGAAACUGUCUCUCUGAGCUGUACAGCCAGUUCAGGAGUUGAUGAUGAUCUGAGUUGGUACCUGCAGAAACCUGGACAGACUCCCAAACUGCUGUUUUAUAAAAUAAGUACACGUGCAUCAAACACUCCUGAUCAUUUCAGCAGCAGCGGCUCUGAACCCGACUUCACUCUGACCAUCAGUGGAGUCAAGGCUGAAGAUGCAGGAGUUUACUACUGUAUGGGAGCAUAUCGUGGUCCGGUGUUCACACAGUGAUAGAGAGCUGUACAAAAACCUCCCUCAGUCAGACUGCAUAGACACUGACUUGUUAGAGCAGGAACUGACUGCAGCUGCUGAAGGGAAAGAGACUCUGACACAGACCACUGAACACAGAGCUGAG